rnacentral:rRNA from 1 species
CAGCAGCCGCGGGAAUACGGAGGGUGCAAGCGUUAAUCGGAACUACAGAGCGUAAAGCGUGCGUAGGCGGUUCGUUAAGUCUGUUGUGAAAGCCCCGGGCUCAACCUGGGAAUGGCAAUGGAUACUGGCGAGCUAGAGUGUGUCAGAGGAUGGUGGAAUUCCCGGUGUAGCGGUGAAAUGCGUAGAGGUCGGGAGGAACAUCAGUGGCGAAGGCGGCUUACUGGCUCAUUCUAGACGCUGAGGUGCGAAAGCGUGGGGAGCAAACAGGAUUAGAUACCCCAGUAGUCCCUGUCUCUUAUAC